UACAGAGGGUGCGAGCGUUGUUCGGAAUUACUGGGCGUAAAGCGCGCGCAGGCGGCUUUUUAAGUCCAUCGGUGAAAUGCCGGGGCUCAACCCCGAGCGUGCCGAGGAUACUGGAAGGCUGGAGACACGUAGAGGCAAGCGGAAUUCCGGGUGUAGCGGUGGAAUGCGCAGAUAUCAGGAGGAACACCAAUUGCGAAGGCAGCUCGCUGGGACGUUACUGACGCUGAGACGCGAAAGCGUGGGGAGCAAACAGG
rnacentral:rRNA from 1 species